ensembl:lncRNA
UUUAUAUCAUUAAACUGUGGUCUUUAAUAAUAAAACACCCUUCAUACAAAAGUAUAUGUACAGUGUCACAGCAAUUUAUGGAAACGCAUUUCUUUGUAUUCGUCUUAAAUAUAACAUGUAUCAACAGUCAUUCAAGAAAAAUCAACAAUAGACAGGAAAUCAAACAAGAGUUUCAGGCCAGGAUGAAAUGAUGUAGAAGUCAACCAUUACUGGUCCUUCCUGAUGACACUGUGGUCUUUUCUUAAGACUUAUUAAUACAUUCAUGUGAUUCUUAUGGAAGAGGUCUGACACUUGUGUAUACCUGGAAUAAAACACCAAACUAUAAAUGCUGAAUACUGCUUGGGAAAAAAGCACAUACAAAUGGCUUCUGAAAGAGGAUGAAUUUUGUUAUUAGAUGACAUUACAUUAUAGAGCAGUUCCAUAAUGAAAAAGAAAAAAAGACUGCAGUGAAUGCAGAGGAACGGCCAUCCUGCUCCUCUUCAACAGUAUGCAGUGCACAUCAUUUGCAUUUUGGUUUUUCUGAUAUCUGAAUAACUGUACACAGUGGGAAAAUACAAUGACAUUAAAGGAGCUUCAAGGAAAAAGUUGACCAAGCAGCCCUGAAGAUUUUGCUUCAACCUUCUCAAGCCUGUUGUUCACACUGGAAGUGACUGAUAUUGCACGUUUUCACAUUUGUAUAAAAUUUCUAUUUUAUACAAAUGGGAAAAACAGAGCUGGAGUGGCUGUACAGCACUCAAAAAGUUAGAUCUAGAGAAAAAAAACAUUUAGAACUGGGUGCAAAAAUAGAAUUGUGGCAUCAACAAUUUGAAGUAAUGAACCCUUCAAGUGUAGACAGCUUUGUUGCAUAUAAUAGGAGCUAUUGAGUUUUGUUACAUGGAGACGUGCCGCUCGCAUCCAGUGUUGACACAGCAUCAAACUGUGAAGCACAGCUGUCAGGGUUUAUAAUUCUGGGUGAGUAAAUCAGAGAGAAUACAAGUUCUCACAAUGGUCAGGCUGGGGAAAAAAAGGGGUUUGCACAAUGUGUGCGUAUGUCUUUUAUAUUCUGGAAGCAGGACUCGGUUGUGCAGCAUGAGAAAGGGUGUCAUUGGUACACGGACAUUCCUCGCCCUUUCUGCCCACUCUGACCAACAGCAGUUCUUUUCCUGGCACAGUGCCUGGUAUAUAGCGGGCUUUGCUCUCAGGUUGGUACUGGCACAUCAUAGCUCCCGCUGUAAUACUGAGUGGCAUUUAAAGGACUAGUUCACCCAGAAAUGAAAAUUGUGUCAUUUCUCAUUAUCAUGUCGUUCCACACCUGUGAGACUUUCUUUCUUCUGAAAAACACAGAAGAAAAAUGGCAUUUAAAACGUGUCUCUGUUUUUUUUUUUGUUUUUUUGUCCAUACAAUGAAAGAAUUGUGGAAUAACAGAAAAAAAAUAGCUUAAAAACUUUUUUUUUUAGUUAUUUUAUUUAUUUAUUUUUUUUUAAUGAAAAAAAAAGUUGUCUUAAGCCACAUCAUUCACAGGGUUGUUUUUAUCAAACCCAUUCUACAUUAAUAAAUAAUUAAAAUAAUAAUUAGUUUAACUAUUACUGUUAAUAACUAUAUAUA